rnacentral:lncRNA from 1 species
CCCGCCCGCCCCCGGGGGUCGCUGCCCGCCGCCCCCUCCGCCCCCACGGCCCGGGGAAGGGAGGGAAGAGGGGGAUCCCCGCCGCCUCCCGGGCUCUCUCACCUGGCGCUGCUGCUCGUGCCGCCGCCCCGCCGCUCCUCUCCCCUCCCGCCCGGGCCCGGCGCUUCCCGGGCACCGCUCGGAUCCCGCCGCCGCCGGGGGCAGGAGGAGGAGGAGGAGGAGAAGGAGGAGGAGGNUGUUUCUGUACAGCCGUGAGGUGUAGGAAUGCACUGACAUAACGUAGCACACAGAAAAAGGAGAGCUGAGAUUCCUCUGUGAUAGCAGGAAUCCGGGACCCGAGGAAAGCACCAAAUUGCCUCAACCUUUAAAGCACGAAAGCUGUCAUCGGUGAUCUCAAAUCUGGACAUUUUACAGCUGUUGAGAUGGAAAAAAAACAAAAAUCAGUUCACUCAACAGGUUUCUUAUGGAUUUAGCGCUGGGGGAUGAUCUCACCUCGAGGCAUCACAUCCAGAAGAAGCCAAGCCCUGCCUGCAGAGCAGCCUGUCCUACUGAGCUACCGGAGUUUGUCAGACAUAGGGCGUGCAAAACAGCUCACCCCUGCGUGGAUUCUCUGGUGUGUAGUAAGGCUCCAGCACGGCCCUUCCCUCAUUAGGAAAGUUAAAAGGGUCCCUUCUCAUUUUCAUUAGACGGGGUGAAAGCUGCUCCAAGAUAACAUGCCAUCACCUGACUCCUUCCUGAGGCCAUUCGGAGCCUCCGCCCUCCCACACAAUGGAGUUUAUCUCGGAGGUUGUUCCUGCCCCUCCCUCUGUCUACACCUUCAGGUAUCCCAUUAGGGAGGCUCUGAUACCCGAACCCAGUAGGAAAGCAUCCAGCUCACACAAUCUCCACGCUUGCAGCAAGCGGAGCACAACCUCAGAGCAGCGCCCGAGCCAAGGCAGCGCGUGUCCUGCCUGCCUGCCUGCCUGCAGGAAGCACCCCAGCCAAAACUCACAGAGAUGGAAGGAUGCUCACCACAUCCCUCAAGGUGACCCCUGCUGCCUCGUCUCCAUCAGCACUCUCACUUCCAGGCACUACAACCUGUGCAUCUCUCAUCUGUGCUCAGGAAAAACAGUUGUUUGGUUCUGUGAUUCCUGCAGGGAAUCCGACUGCAAAGCAGCCAAAGGCUCAUCCCAACACUGACAACAAAGGAAGCUCACUCAGCUUUGGUUACGAUUGAGUGACAAAAGCCACAGGCAUGCACGGAGGUUACUUCUACUCACACCUCUUUCAUUGAAAACAAUCAGGUUUCAUUUAUCCUGGAGCUCUGCAAGUAACUACACAACCAGAAAUGGUGGUGACAUACCCUGAGAAGGCGGAGCCAAAGCAUUUGGGAGAGAAGACGACGGUGUCUGGUCUCAGAAGCAUUUGGUGAUUACUCGUUGUAGCCAUAAAAGUCCUGGAGGGUGACUGCUGUCUCCCACAGCCCUGCGCUGUCAGGAAGAUCCUGAGAAAGCUCUGAUGUUCACUGGAAUUUACAGUGUGUUUAUAUUUGAAGUGAGGAUAUCAGAAGCACUCUCAGCUUCCUGCUCUCUUUGCCUUGUUCCCCUCCUGUCCCCCAGGUUCCAGAGCUCACCUGUGAAAUCUGGAUGCUCUGGGAGGAGAUACAUACCUGGGGAGGCAAAGCGUUCCUUGCUAUUUGCUGGAACCCUCAGAAUCCCAGCUGGAUUGAAAGCCCUUCUGAAGGAAUUUUUCAGGCUCAGCCCAAGUCAUGGGCACGAUGCCACAAUCCCUACACGAAAGGGUUAUGCAAAGGGUCAGAAUCGGUGAUGAUAAGAUUCCCUUCCAGCCAAAACAAUCUACAAACAUCCAAGGAAACCCACCACCCUCUGGCAAGAGCCAGGACCAGAUUUUCUGAAGUGCAACAAUGUCUGGCUCCAGAAUCACAGGGGCAGCGCCUCUGAAGAGCAAUGAAAUCAUCUCUUCUGCCUGGGAGGUUUGAUGAGCUAUGUUGGCAAUGCCCGUCAGCUACAGACCACAAGGCUGGAGCACUGGGAACAAAACUCGAGCAGAUGUGUUCAGAAUUGCUUUAAAAUUAAUGUCACACUGCUUAGAAGAUUAAAAAGACAGUGAAAGUAAACUCUUUGCACACGCUAGAAAUACAUUGUGCAACCCAGCCUGCUCAGCAGGCUCAAAGGGGGAACGGCAGAAGCUGCUGCAAGUCAGGACCGACGUACCUGAGCAGAGCGGUGUGGGAGGCAAGGCCUGGAGUUGCAGGAGUGUAGCAGCUUCAGAGAGAAUGGGAGCUGACAGACAGUAAUACACGAAGCUCAGAUGGUAUCUGUCUGUAGGAGGCCUGGCUCAACUCAAGGCCAUUAACUUGUUGCUCUCUGAACAGCACCAAAAGGACGGGAAGCAGAAGCACGUUGGCCCAGCAUGGUUUGUGUUCAACGACUGCUUAAAGAUUACAGCAGAGCGAAGAACGCUGAGAGAGGUGCAGAGCCACUUGAAUGGCUGCAGGCUCACAGGGCUGCAAGUUUUUGCAUGAAGACCAAGUCAAAACCAGGCAGACAACUGGGACGUUGCCUUCAAAGUAGAAAGAAAUAAAUUACUAGUCUUCAUUUCUUCCCUUUCAGGAGUUUGAACUUAAAGGGGAGUCCGUCAACUUUACAUAAAUCCUGUGCAUAAUUAAAAACAUAUUUUCCUGUGCUGCAGAGAAGCCCCUGGAUGAUUAAUAAGGCAUUUUUCGAACUACUUUAAUUCACACUAAUUAAGCUGCUUAUUUACCCCACUCAAUAAUUUUCCUUCCAGGGGGUUAAAGCUAUCCCAGGAGGUGGUUUCCCCUCCAGGGACCAAGAGGGAAAGGACCCCAGGGAGCUGCCUAAGGCACCAGUAACAUACAGAGGUGUUUCACAGACAGCAACAGAGCUGGUUACACAAACCACAUCAUGUCAAACCCUCACUGCACUUCUCUUGCUAAGCCUGAUUCUUUGCCCGAGUAAGAUGAGGAGACAUGAAGUUGCUCAGCUCUUGGGAGCCCUGAAGAGCAGUUUGCCUAGACUUUGUCUGAGCUCCCAGCCUUGCUUGGGACCAGACUUUGUAAGCCUAGCACAAAAACAUAACAGAGGCUGCACAGGGUUGGGUCAGGCUUGUGGCCAACAGCAGAUAAAUACGUUAGAUGCAAGUGGAAGGGAUGGAAGGGGAAUUCAGAACCUCACUGGCAUUUUCUCUCGCCUUUAAUAUUAUUGUUUCUCUCAGCAUUUCAAGCCCACAGGCUGACUGGCAGGGUUUGGAGAGUUAAGGAGUUCCUCCCAAGCAUUGGUGCAUUCAUGCUUUGGCUCCUGCACCCUCAUCAAGGGCAGGUCAGUAACAAGGUAUGAUUUUUGAGUUGCCUCUACUAAAAAAGGCAGGAAAU